AAGCGUUAUCCGGAUUUACUGGGUGUAAAGGGAGCGUUAGACGGCACUGCAAGUCUGGAGUGAAAGCCCGGGGCUCAACCCCGGGACUGCUUUGGAAACUGUGGUGCUAGAGUGCAGGAGAGGUAAGUGGAAUUCCUAGUGUAGCGGUGAAAUGCGUAGAUAUUAGGAGGAACACCAGUGGCGAAGGCGGCUUACUGGACUGUAACUGACGCUGAGGUGCGAAAGCGUGGGGAGC
rnacentral:rRNA from 1 species